rnacentral:rRNA from 1 species
GAUGAACGCUGGCGGCGUGCCUAAUACAUGCAAGUCGAGCGAACGGACGAGGAGCUUGCUUCUCUGAUGUUAGCGGCAGACGGGUGAGUAACACGUGUAUAACCUACCUAUCAGACUGGGAUCACUUCGGGACACCGGAUCUAAUCCCGGAUGAUCUUUUGAACCGCGUGGUUCAAUAGAGAGAUACGGUGUUGCUGUCACUUAUAGCUGGAUACGCGCUGCAUUAGCUAGUUGGUAAGGUAACGGCUUACCAAGGCAACGAUGCAUAGCCGACCUGCGAGGGUGAUCGGCCACACUGGAACUGAGACACGGUCCAGACUCCUACGGGAGGCAGCAGUAGGGAAUGUUCCGCAAUGGGCGAAAGCCUGACGGAGCAACGCCGCGUGAGUGAUGAAGGUCUUCGGAUCGUAAAACUCUGUUAUUAGGGAAGAACAUAUGUGUAAGUAACUGUGCACAUCUUGACGGUACCUAAUCAGAAAGCCACGGCUAACUACGUG